UACGUAGGGGGCAAGCGUUGUCCGGAAUUAUUGGGCGUAAAGAGCUCGUAGGUGGUUUGCUGCGUCCGCUGUGAAAACCCAAGGCUUAACCUUGGGCUUGCAGUGGAUACGGGCAGGCUAGAGGUAGGUAGGGGAGAAUGGAAUUCCCGGUGUAGCGGUGAAAUGCGCAGAUAUCGGGAGGAACACCGGUGGCGAAGGCGGUUCUCUGGGCCUUACCUGACACUGAGGAGCGAAAGCGUGGGGAGCGAACAGG
rnacentral:rRNA from 1 species